GUUGCUACACGCUUGCUCAUUCUUCUGUAUUUAAAUUAACUUGUUUGAGACUUUAAACCAUUUUAAAGUGUUCAUUGUACCCAUACAAUGGCGGGGAAAAGACGUUACAGCCUUCUGUUAUGGAUGUUUGUAUUUUCCCUGGAUGUUUUAGCUAAUCAUAUUGAUGAUUGCCUGACCAACCCAUGUAUGAAUGGAGGGACAUGCGAAGACUGGUUUGGGGAGUACAUUUGCCAUUGCUCUAGUGGUAUCACUGACCCAAAUUGUUACGCCCCAGCUUUCAGAUUGGACUGGACCAACUCGGAAUGUUACACGUACUAAACGUUUGGACACCGACAAUAAAGUCGAAAACGAAGUGGAUAGUGACCACGAUAGUGACAUUAGCGAUGUAAGUGAUGUGAUUGUUGACCAAUUUGUGGACACCACACCAUGAAAAGCGCAUCCAAUAGAUGUGGAUCACGCUGAUGCAACUAGUGGACAGAGUGAGGAAGACUCGUGUGGUGACAUGGAUCAGCCCGCACUAAGACGCUCAGGACGUUCGACCAGAGGGAAACAUUAAAAUCCAUUUCAUUUACCAAAAAGUGUUGUUGUGACAAAUAAAUAACUGCACAUUUCUCCAGUGAAAACAAAGGACUUCAGUAAACUUAGUGACGCCAUUGCUACUUUGAGUGCAUCGUUGGGAGCUUCUAUAAGUGCAACACUUAGUCAGUCAUGGGCAAAAUUACAUAUUAUACGAAAGAAUAGUUUGUUUGUUUUUAAAUUUUUAUUGUAUAUAUGUGAUACACAAAGACUUUAUAGAUAUUUUCCAAAUUGUGUUUUCACAUUGCUAGGGACAGCAAUGUCAAAAGGGGAGGGGGUAUGUAAGAGAGAGGGAACUUAAUUUCGAAUUGUAGGAAAUAUAGUAUUGUUGUGAUGAUGGGAUUUGAACCGGGGACGUCUUGAUAUGGGGUCGAAGUCUUUACCUCUUAAGCAUUUCAUUUUAAGUGUUGAAAUAUUGGGUGAAGUUAUGCAAGAUCAAAUGAUACGCCUAUGGGGUUUGGAAAUAUAGGAUUUAUUUUGAAGCAUUUCUUCACUAUUUGUUGAAAAUUACUUCGGGUGAUGUUAUGCAAUGUUUUUUGGUGCUAGUGAUGUAACUAGCACUUUGUAUAUUUUAAACAAGUAACAGAGUAUGUAGUUUUCUAGGCAUGCAUGCAAUGGUUCUUUGAAGUUAUUAUGAAGAUAAUUUUUCAUGUUUAAAUGUUCACUGUACAUGUAUGUGUAAGCAGUUCAUUGUUUACAUUUCAGAUUAUACAGACAGGGGUAUUAAGAUGAUUUAAUUGUUACUUUAAAUAUUUCACAUAAAUGGAAAUCAGUUAGUGUAAUAUGUAGAGUUUGUAUUUGAUAUUUUCAUUUUAAUAUAGUCUUACGAUAUUUUGAUAAAAGGAAAGGGAAGUGCCUAGCUGUAGUCACCACGUUUGCCCCUUACUUAGGGUAUGUAUUUGCAUAUAGGGGCUGUAAGUCUCGUUUCUUGUCACUUCCGGUGAAGCAUUUCCGGUGACAAAGAAAUUCGAUUUAGCUUGCCAUUACGAGUAUAGAAUUGCGACAACUACACAUCCGAAAAGCCAACGCCUAUGCGCAAAUCAGAGAACGCUGUGUACCACAACCAUUUGUUAUAUCCCUGUUUAACAAGGUGAAGUACAUUGUCAAUGCAGUGGUUCAAGUGUCGACGGAGAACAAGUCGUAUAAAGUAACCAGGUAACUGCAAGUAGACGUUCAACUUCAACUUCAUGAAUGAUUAUUCGAUAAUUACGCAAUUCAUUUCUACUUUUAAUUCAACUUACUUCUUCUCCUUCGUUUCAAACAACUAGGCCUAUUAUUGUUAAUAAUUAGACAUGCAAAUGCACAAUGUAACUGAAGUAAAUAAUUUUGUGAUGUGGCUAAAAUUGAGGGGGGUGUUAUGGUUAUACAUGCAAUAUGGCCUUCUACCACACUGGGUUUUUUUUAUAUUAUUAUUAUUAUUGAUUAAGCAAUUUGGAGAAAUUGGUAUUAUUAAGAUAACUUGCUUAUCUAUAGCUUCAUUAAGUUUGUAUAUUUAGCAAGAAAUUACAGGGCGGGGCAGUUCUUGUGUGUCUUCUGUUAAGCAUCAGAAAAGUCUUGAAUUAAUUUCUGGACUCACCAAUAUUUUCUUUGUGAUAUUUUCUUCAUGCGUGUGGUAUAUACAAUACCAAUGGUUAAAAUGAAAUCAUCCCGUUUGUCAUACAGUUGAGUUGUCAGUUUGCCGUUAAUGUCUACUUUCAAUAAAAUAUCUAAGUAUGAA